rnacentral:rRNA from 1 species
GCAAGUCCGACGAGAAAGGGGAAGAAUCCCUGAGUACAGUGGCGUACGGGUGAGUAACACGUGGAUAAUCUGCCCUUUAGUGGGGAAUAACCCUGGGAAACCGGGGCUAAUACCGCAUGAGCACGAGAGUGGAAAGCAGCAAUGCGCUGAAGGAGGAGUCCGCGGCCGAUUAGCUAGUUGGCAGGGUAAAAGCCUACCAAGGCAAAGAUCGGUAGCCGGCCUGAGAGGGCACACGGCCACACUGGCACUGAAACACGGGCCAGACUCCUACGGGAGGCAGCAGUGGGGAAUCUUGCACAAUGGGGGAAACCCUGAUGCAGCGACGCCGCGUGAGCGAUGAAGCCCUUCGGGGUGUAAAGCUCUUUCGGCAGGGAAGAUGAUGACGGUACCUGCAGAAGCAGCUGCGGCUAACUACGUGCCAGCAGCCGCGGUAAUACGUAGGCAGCAAGCGUUGUUCGGAGUUACUGGGCGUAAAGGGUGUGUAGGCGGUUGUUUAAGUUUGGUGUGAAAUCUCCCGGCUCAACUGGGAGGGUGCGCCGAAUACUGAAUGACUCGAGUGCGGGAGAGGAAAGUGGAAUUCCUGGUGCAGCGGUGAAAUGCGUAGAUAUCAGGAGGAACACCGGUGGGUGUAGACGGCUUUCUGGACCGUAACUGACGCUGAGACACGAAAGCGUGGGUAGCAAACAGGAUUAGAUACCCUGGUAGUCCACGCCCUAAACGAUG